UAAGGAAUAUUGGUCAAUGGACGCAAGUCUGAACCAGCCAUGCCGCGUGAAGGAUGAAGGUCCUCUGGAUUGUAAACUUCUUUUAUCUGGGACGAAAACGGGAUUUUUAUCUCAAUUGACGGUACCAGAGGAAUAAGCACCGGCUAACUCCGUGCCAGCAGCCGCGGUAAUACGGAGGGUGCGAGCGUUAUCCGGAUUUACUGGGUUUAAAGGGUGCGUAGGUGGGCUUAUAAGUCAGUGGUGAAAUCUCCGAGCUUAACCUGGAAACUGCCGUUGAUACUAUAGGUCUUGAAUUAUCUGGAGGUAAGCGGAAUAUGUCAUGUAGCGGUGAAAUGCUUAGAUAUGACAUAGAACACCAAUUGCGAAGGCAGCUUACUACAUAUAAAUUGACGCUGAGGCACGAAAGCGUGGGGAUCAAACA
rnacentral:rRNA from 1 species